rnacentral:rRNA from 1 species
GUCCACGCCGUAAACGAUGAGUGCUAGGUGUCACGGGCUUUGACCCUCGUGGUGCCGAAGCUAACGCGUUAAGCACUCCGCCUGGGGAGUACGGUCGCAAGACUAAAACUCAAAGAAAUUGACGGGGCCCGCACAAGCGGUGGAGCAUGUUGUUUAAUUCGACGCAACGCGAAGAACCUUACCUGGGCUAGAAAGUACAGGAAGUCGGUCGAAAGGUCGAUGUGCCCUUCGGGGAACCUGUGGUUAGGUGCUGCAUGGCUGUCGU